CCUACGGGAGGCAGCAGUAGGGAAUCUUUCACAAUGGGCGAAAGCCUGAUGGAGCAACGCCGCGUGCAGGAUGAAGGCCUUCGGGUUGUAAACUGCUUUUAUAAGCGAGAAAUAUGAUGGUAACUUAUGAAUAAGGAUCGGCUAACUACGUGCCAGCAGCCGCGGUCAUACGUAGGAUCCGAGCAUUAUCCGGAGUGACUGGGUGUAAAGAGUUGCGUAGGUGGCAUAAUAAGUAGCUAGUGAAAUCUGGUGGCUCAACCAUUCAGACUAUUAGCUAAACUGUUAAGCUCGAGACCGUUAGGGGUAACUGGAAUUUCUAGUGUAGGAGUGAAAUCCGUAGAUAUUAGAAGGAACACCAAUAGCGUGGGCAGGUUGCUGGGACGGUUCUGACACUAAGGCACGAAAGCGUAGGGAGCAAACGGGAUUAGAUACCCGUGUAGUC
rnacentral:rRNA from 1 species